CCAUUUCUCCUCUCGCACUCUCCAUCUCGCUCCACGCUCAGCCCUAUCACUAUAGCUACGGGCAAGUCGCUCUUUUUAGGACUUGCCAUCUUUCUCUUUCUCUCUAAAGUUCGCCCAGCGAGCGCAGCGAUCCCCACUGGUGUCGGUGUGACCGAAGGCGAGCGACCGAACGACCGGCCAACUCAAGCACGUCGCCGUAAAAAAAAAUACUCCGCGUGCAUGCGCCCCUCGUGGUAGCUCUCCGUGUGCCUCGAAGAGUAUUUCGUGAGAGAGUGCGCUCCGUCCGACGUGCGUGCAAGACAAAGAAGAAGAACAAGAGGAAUGGCACGACCCGAAUGUCCUUGCUCCUGCGAAAUGUCUAAAGGACUCACCAGCGCCACUCUUUCUUUUUCUUUCCAGUAUAUGCAUUUACAACCGUUGCGUAAAGCGAAAUCGUGUUCGGCCAUCGGCGUUCACUCCGCGUCCGUAAAGUAAUGCACGGAGUGAACUGGUCUAGUACAACAAACUAUAGAUAUACCCGUACACUCUUCUCACGGUACAAGCUGUGCCAGGCGUCGUCUAGGAAUGCUUACGUUUCUACACGUCGAAUCUAUCGAUGCCUCCCGAUCAUACGUGUCAUUUCACGGAUACUCCAGACCAAUGACUAACAUUCGUAUACCUGUUAGUCACUGAACGAAAGGCAAAACUAGUUAGCAGUACCUAGCGCGCGUCCCAGGCAUUCGGUAAUAUGCCUCGUGCAAUGGGAAAUCGAUGACGGACUAUAGGUCGCCGACAAAUCCGCAGUAGUUCCCGGUACUACUUCUACAUUACACUAACCACCUACAGCAGUCCUCCCCGCGCAUAACUCUCUAAUAUGGUAUGGAAUUAGGUGCUUAGGCUGUACGACGUGAGUCAACGUGCUUCCUGCCUAGCAACCGUAACUCGUCGUCACAGUGGCCGAUCUUCGGGGCCCGUAGCUACACAUACGAUGCACCGAGUCCCGCCUUCGGAGACUCCGCAUGCGAAGGAAGCCUGCUGUCUGGUUUAUGUAACGCACGCCCGAAGAGCGGCAUAAUGCGUUUCGAGUGUCUGUCUCCCGCAUUCCCAGCGCAGCUGCCCUCGGUGCGUGCAUGGGUUGCGCCGUAUCGCGUGUGCGUAAGGAGAGGAGGUGGCGGGGGGUUCUCGGUGCAUGCGUGCCUCGUAAAGUGAUUCUUAGUGUGCGCGAGUAUACGUGGUUUGCGUGUUUAUAUUUAUGCUGCGCUAUGUAUACACACGGAGGACUAUGUGCCACGUUGCAGUCACUGCGCUCUGACGACUUCCACGUUAAGCUACAGUAUUACCGUCUGUCUUGUAUAGGGGCACCACUAGCGUGUCACGGCGAUUGCGCGUUCAAGGACAAGUGCGUUAUAUAUUAAUUUCUUCAUGUUUCGCGUGAUCCCUUUUUUUUUUUUUUAUUUACAAGAAACGCGAUUAACGGACUAUUAUAAGAGCAUCACAGAGAACAUUUACCGAGAUGACGAUCCAGAUCAAAUUUCCUAAGAAGAUUACCAAGGUCUGGCAAAUCCUUUGUCUCGUGGCAAAAUGGCCGACCGGCGUUAUAGGCUUUGACAUCGACCUUGAGCAAGAAAUCCCUAGUCAGGCAUAGAGCAAUGGCGUCGGUCCCGUGGCAGGACUACGUAUUAAAGGCUCUUUUGUUUUCGAAACUUCUGAACACGAAUACGAUAUUGAACGCUGCUGUGGGUUUCCUGCCGAGUGUACGACCUCGACUCCUUACAGACGCAUAUACACGUGUACCAGGAACAUGGAUUUAGCUCGUGCAGAUGUCGUGCAGUACAAAUCAGCCAAUGGAGAUGAAUAAAGCGGCGACGAAAAAGGUGAACGUAAAGCAAUGUAAUCGCGACUACAUAGGAAUUGAGUCUAAAGGCGUAUGUGGAAAAAAUUUAGAAAUACAAAAUAACGGUCCCUAUAUAAA